rnacentral:rRNA from 1 species
GUAGGGAAUCUUCCGCAAUGGGCGAAAGCCUGACGGAGCAAUGCCGCGUGAGUGAUGAAGGUUUUCGGAUCGUAAAGCUCUGUUGCCAGGGAAGAACGCUUGGGAGAGUAACUGCUCUCAAGGUGACGGUACCUGAGAAGAAAGCCCCGGCUAACUACGUGCCAGCAGCCGCGGUAAUACGUAGGGGGCAAGCGUUGUCCGGAAUUAUUGGGCGUAAAGCGCGCGCAGGCGGUCAUUUAAGUCUGGUGUUUAAUCCCGGGGCUCAACCCCGGAUCGCACUGGAAACUGGGUGACUUGAGUGCAGAAGAGGAGAGUGGAAUUCCACGUGUAGCGGUGAAAUGCGUAGAUAUGUGGAGGAACACCAGUGGCGAAGGCGACUCUCUGGGCUGUAACUGACGCUGAGGCGCGAAAGCGUGGGGAGCAAACAGGAUUAGAAACCCUUGUAGUCC